UACGGAAGGCAGCAGUGGGGAAUAUUGCACAAUGGGCGAAAGCCUGAUGCAGCUAUGCCGCGUGUAUGAAGAAGGCCUUAGGGUUGUAAAGUACUUUCAUCGGGGAGGAAAAAACAAAACUAAUAAUUUUAUUUCUUGACGUUACCCGAAAAAGAAGCACCGGCUAACUCCGUGCCAGCAGCCGCGGUAAUACGGAGGGUGCUAGCGUUAAUCAGAAUUACUGGGCGUAAAGAGCACGUAGGUGGUUUUUUUAAGUCAGAUGUGAAAUCCCUGGGCUUAACCUAGGAACUGCAUUUUGAAACUGAAAUACUAGAGUAUCGUAGAGGGAGGUAGAAUUCUAGGUGUAGCGGUGAAAUGCGUAGAUAUCUGGAGGAAUACCUGUGGCAAAAGCGGCCUCCUAAACGAAUACUGACACUGAGGUGCGAAAGCGUGGGGAGCAAACAGGGAUUAGAUACCCGU
rnacentral:rRNA from 1 species